CAGUCGCCGCGGUAAUACGUAGGGUGCAAGCGUUAAUCGGAAUUACUGGGCGUAAAGCGUGCGCAGGCGGUUUGUUAAGACAGAUGUGAAAUCCCCGGGCUCAACCUGGGAACUGCAUUUGUGACUGGCAAGCUAGAGUCUGGCAGAGGGGGGUGGAAUUCCGCGUGUAGCAGUGAAAUGCGUAGAUAUGCGGAGGAACACCGAUGGCGAAGGCAGCCCCCUGGGCCAACACUGACGCUCAUGCACGAAAGCGUGGGGAGCAAACAGGAUUAGAUACCCGCGUAGUCCCUGUCUCUUAUAC
rnacentral:rRNA from 1 species